rnacentral:rRNA from 1 species
UAGGGAAUCUUCCGCAAUGGGCGAAAGCCUGACGGAGCAACGCCGCGUGAGUGAUGAAGGUCUUCGGAUCGUAAAACUCUGUUAUUAGGGAAGAACAAAUGUGUAAGUAACUAUGCACGUCUUGACGGUACCUAAUCAGAAAGCCACGGCUAACUACGUGCCAGCAGCCGCGGUAAUACGUAGGUGGCAAGCGUUAUCCGGAAUUAUUGUGCGUAAAGCGCGCGUAGGCGGUUUUUUAAGUCUGAUGUGAAAGCCCACGGCUCAACCGUGGAGGGUCAUUGGAAACUGGAAAACUUGAGUGCAGAAGAGGAAAGUGGAAUUCCAUGUGUAGCGGUGAAAUGCGCAGAGAUAUGGAGGAACACCAGUGGCGAAGGCGACUUUCUGGUCUGUAACUGACGCUGAUGUGCGAAAGCGUGGGGAUCAAACAGG